GAAGUAACGGCUCCUUUCCUCAAAGAAAGAAACAACCGCUGUGCAAGAAAAUCCAGUAUGACUUCUCUAAAAAUCUCAAAGGGUUCACAGAGCAGCACUAUUUAAUAAAGAAAUGUGGCUCUGAGGUGGACACCUGUGAGGCAGUGGACAGACAGCUGCUGAUGCCUGAUGCUGGCUGACAAUAAACAGACCUCUCUGGACAUACCCCAUCUUGUGCAGAGAAAUUCUAACAUUGCACUUCCUGUAACAUGAUGGUCCUGCUGUCCUGGACUGUAUAUGAUGAGCCUACACAUAAUCUCAGAACAGCUGUGGUAAUAACUCGAGAUCCAUUUGGUGAGAGCAGCACUGCAGACUUUCCUGAUGGAGGAGAUCAUGGACCAUUUGCACAAGACUGAUGAUGCGUUUCAGCGGCCUUCAGCAUCGUAAAUCCUCACAAUUUUCUAAUAUUUUGAUUAAAAAAAAUGAUGUGCAUUUAUAACACUAUACUUGGUAUUAUAUCACAUUUGUAUCAAAUUACAAAAGAAAAAUAGCUAAUGCAAGGGUGUUUCAAAUCCAGAGUCUUUGGGAGGGAUGCUAAAUUUGACAUUGUUCUCUCUUCUGACUGCUGUUAUCAGUCUCUGUCAGUUUUCUUCCUUUGAUUGAAAGUUGUGAAAAUGCUAUCUUUAGAGUAUAUAUUUUGAGAAUGCAAAAAUAUAUUUGUGAUACUCUCCCAUUCACUGCUCUCGAAGUUUACUCAACUAUAACAACUUACGCUGCUGAGAAACUGGUUCAUUAUAUCUUGAGGCUUAUCAAUUUCUUAGAAUGUCCUGUGUGAAUUCUCCCAAUCAGUUACCACUAUUUAGAACAGGAAAGAAAAUGUUACUAUUAAUUGCAUUGUGUCUAAA